CUAGAGAGAAAGGACUCGAACCUCAAACUAAGAGUCCAAAACUCCUCGUAUGUCCGACUAUACUACACCCUA
rnacentral:tRNA from 1 species